UUGGGCGGUUGGAUGCUUGUCUCAUGGAGACUGUUUCUCCCUGGCAAGCACUCAUCAUUAAACCUGUGCUGUUGGCGUGAUUCGAAUACUCAGGAGAUUAUGAGCGCAGCACAUUCUGCUCUGUUGUCUGUUUUUAGACAUAUUUGACCAUCUGUCUCCUGCAGCCUCCUGUCUCCACUGAAGGAAUGUAUUUGAAAGAGGCCUGAUUAACUGAGGGACUGAUGACUAAUGAUUACCGAACACACAUGGGCCAUUGUUGAAGCUCUACUAGCAGGCUGUUGCACUGUGGGCUUGUGGUGUCUCUGCACUUAGUAGUAGCUGAUGGACCUUUGGGGAGUGGUUGUGGUUAGUAUGUGGCUUCAAACACUGUUUAUGGCCAUGCUAGUGCCAUGGCUUCAGGUGUGGAAAUGUUGGUUAGUCGGUCGGAGAUAUCUCAAUAAUUCUUGGAUGGAUUGCCAUUAAAUUUGGCACAGACAUCCAUGAUGCCAAGAGGAUGAUCCUGAUCACUCAGGUAGUCAAUUAUCUCUCGUCACUCGCUGGCAGAGACAAACACAGGGUCUGCUGUGGAUUUCCAUGGCAACUACCCACCCAGGAGCUACAUUCGGCAGUGCUAGUGAAGCCGGAUGAGACUGCCAUCGACCGCACGUUAACACCUCGCCAUUAGCUGUGUUUGACGGCAGAGAUACAAAGAGACGGAGACAGGAGACUAAACAGGAAAAACAUGUUUAUUUCAUUAUUAUGGCUUCCUGUCCAACCAUAUCUCUCUAUGUUGUCUGUGGUGUCAGUAUCAGCAGACCAAUGUGAAAAAACUGCAACCUGCAAAUAUGCAACACUUGUUCCUUCUUUUCUGCUGUGUUAGAGGCCAUCGGAUACAAAUGCUCACCACUAGUGCUUUUUAUCGACGUAACCCUAACCCAAUGACAAGCACAUGAGGUAUGAGCAGCUACGUUUUGGGGGUCGAGGGCCAUGUGUAUGUUAGCUCAUAGGAUAGGACUUCAGAGUGUAAUUUAAUACAGCUCUCAAAGCGCUCGGGGAGUCCCACACGGCAGUAUGGACAAAACCUUACUAGGAAGAGGAAUAACUUUUUAGGGGGAUUUUCUUAAAACAGAAUAGCAUACCAUCAUGUACUCAUACAUACACAAGUCAAUGCUAUCACAUAAUGUUAUCAAUUACCAACAGACUUAUUAUCUUAGAUGGUAGUAGUGCAAUAAAAUCCAUCUUAUCACAUCAGUAAAGGCGGCAUGGAGACAUUUUAAUCCUUGGUUAUAUCUGAAAAUACACCAAAUUUGGAUAUAUGUCGGUUUCACUGGACAGCGGCAAUGUGCUACAUUAACUUAAAAUAAUAUUUGUAUUAUAUUUGCCCUGGAAGGGGAUUUCCUUGAUUCUUGUCUAAUGUGACCUGUGAAGCCCUCUGAGAGUGUUAUUAUGACAAAGGGUUACACAUUUACAACCUGACAUGAAACAUUAAAGUGAUAACAUGAAACAAAACGGGAAACUGUGCUAUUAUGUUAUCAUUUAAAGUUCACUGGUUCAGUUUAUUGGAAAAUUGCCUUUUUUGUAUUUGUUCCAAACUCAUGCUUAAGCAAAGUACUGGAUUAAACAACUUGUUCAAAUGGA